UAUGAACAUUUCUUAUCCCAUGUAUAGAAAAUACCCUUCAAGCACACCAAGACAAAGGGGAAGGUCAAGAGGUUACGUAACUCGCGUAGUGUUUCAAGGCCUCCGAUGAGAAGGAAACUCGAUGCCAGGAAAGAGGAACAGGACUCAGCAGCCAAGGGGACCGUCAUCACCAAGCACAUGAAUAAGGUCUUGAGGCAAAAUCCACGAGCUAAUGUCGUCCUGUCUUCAAAGAAGAAACGAAAGUUAAUGAAAGGCCGAAUGAUAGCAGAUCGGGAGGCUAAUGUCAUGUUAGUUGAAGUAGAGACAAAGCCAAGUAAGAAGCCAUCAAAGAAAACCAAACCCAAGAAGUCUUCUCCAGAUGAUGAAGAUAUGGAGACGAUGGAGACAUGAAGCCCCUUCUGUUUCCGAAAAAAGAGACUGUCUAUAUUUCAAUGCCAAAAAAUGUCUAAGAAGGCCUUCGGAACUAUCAAGAAUCGGAUUUAACCAUGGACCUUGCUGUCGUUGGACCUUUAACAACUUGAUGAGGAUUGGAAUGCAACAGCAUCUCAAGAGUUUAGAAAAAUAUAUGUUUGUCUAAAUUCAGUCAAACCUGUCUGUAAAGGCCAUUCAAGGAAAACAUGGAGAGAGAUCACAGUAAACAUGUGGCCUUUCUAGACAGGUUCUGCGUCACACAUUUCUUUCUCAAGGGAGACAAAUGAAUGGCCAUUAUUGUCAGGUGGCCUUUAUAGACAGGUGGCCACUAGGACAGAUUAAACUGUAUCUUCCUUCAAUUCUCUUGUUAUCAUAUCAACAAUAGAUCAUAUAUUUGUUGGAAAGUUGUACUUUUGAUCUCAAUAAAAAUACCUUUACCUCCAAAGUUCCAAACUCUUCAGGCUGUAGCUCAAGAGCUGAAUAUUUUGGACAUAAAGUUUUUUGUUGAAAUAAAAAAUUUAACUUUCCAAACAUUUCUAUCACUGAUACAGAUGAACUUUCAGGAUAUUCAUAGGUCAAUUUCACACACACAAAAAAAUUAUUCCAGAAUUGGAUUACAUAUCAACGAUUUGAUAAGCAUUAGGAUAGAAACAAAAUUGAAAAAUGAGAGAAAUUAUUUAUUGUUUUCUUAAACAUUUGGUAUUGUCUCUUUAACGUUUUUAGUAAUUCAGAAAAAUAUAUUGUUUACAGUAGUCUUUGUAUUAAGAGAGUAUUGUUGAUAUCAUCCGUUCAGUUUCACAUACAAAGAUUUUUUUUUUUAAGUCAGUCCCUCUGAAGUUUAGUCUAUACCAGUUAGAUAGAUCAAAAACUGCUAGUAAUUCCAUACAGAAUUGAGUUCAACCACCUGUGGUUUGAUGUAACCAAAAAUUGAAUGAUAUGUAAAACGUGUUUUAUAAUCUUUUAUUUAAUUUAAAAGGUAUCUAAUUGACAGAGCAUACUUCUGUAAAAUAAAGAUAGAAAAUUAGACGUCUGAUUUUUAGCUUAUCAUGGUCUUACGUUCGCCUAAAUCGGUGCGGUACAGUUUUUCGACAUACAUAUUGUUUACCAAAAUAAUGAAACAUUUUUGAUUUGUUUUUGUGUCAUUGAUGUGUAAUUGUCCCUUAUCUUAACAACAAGUCUUGUUUUUUUUUCGUUUACCUUUCAACAAGUAUGGUUCUAAUGAAGGUAAUAAUCUCUGUACUUUUUUUCUCACACUCAUGAUUGAUUUUAUCAUAAUAAAGUAUUAAACAUACA